rnacentral:rRNA from 1 species
AACGAACGCUGGCGGCGUGCUUAACACAUGCAAGUCGAACGGUGAUCUUGGGAGCUUGCUCCUGGGUGAUCAGUGGCGAACGGGUGAGUAACACGUGAGUAACCUGCCCCUGACUCUGGAAUAACUUCGGGAAACCGAAGCUAAUACCGGAUAUGACACAGAGCCGCAUGGUUUCUGUGUGGAAAGUUUUUUCGGUUGGGGAUGGACUCGCGGCCUAUCAGCUUGUUGGUGAGGUAAUGGCUCACCAAGGCGACGACGGGUAGCCGGCCUGAGAGGGCGACCGGCCACACUGGGACUGAGACACGGCCCAGACUCCUACGGGAGGCAGCAGUGGGGAAUAUUGCACAAUGGGCGAAUGCCUGAUGCAGCGACGCCGCGUGAGGGAUGAAGGCCUUCGGGUUGUAAACCUCUUUCAGUAGGGAAGAAGCGCAAGUGACGGUACCUACAGAAGAAGCACCGGCUAACUACGUGCCAGCCGCCGCCGUAAUAC